AGAUUAAGUUAUUAAGGGCGCACGGUGGAUGCCUUGGCACUAGAAGCCGAUGAAGGACGUUACUAACGACGAUAUGCUUUGGGGAGCUGUAAGUAAGCUUUGAUCCAGAGAUUUCCGAAUGGGGAAACCCAGCAUGAGUU
rnacentral:rRNA from 2 species